rnacentral:rRNA from 1 species
AUGUUUCUCACGAGGACGGAGUACGACCGUGGGGUCAACACCUUCUCCCCGGAGGGGCGGCUGUUCCAGGUCGAGUACGCCAUUGAGGCCAUCAAGUUGGGCUCCACUGCAAUCGGCUUGAUGACUAAGGAUGGUGUUGUACUGGCUGUUGAGAAACGUGUCACCUCACCGCUGCUGGAACCAAGCAGUGUGGAGAAAAUCAUGGAAAUUGAUGAGCAUGUCGGCUGUGCCAUGAGUGGCCUUAUUGCUGACGCCAGAACACUGGUUGAGCAUGCUCGUGUUGAGACUCAGAAUCAUAGGUUCUCAUAUGGGGAGCCAAUGACAGUAGAAUCUACCACACAAGCUAUCUGUGACUUGGCUUUGCGCUUUGGUGAAGGUGAUGAAGAAUCAAUGUCACGGCCGUUUGGAGUCUCUCUCCUUAUUGCUGGUCAUGAUGAACAUGGACCCAGCUUGUAUUACACAGACCCAUCGGGGACCUUUUGGCAGUGCAAGGCCAAGGCCAUUGGGUCGGGCUCUGAAGGAGCUGAUAGCUCAUUACAAGAGCAGUACAACAAGGAACUGACCAUCGCUGAGGCAGAGACCAUAGCCCUUUCUAUCCUGAAGCAGGUUAUGGAAGAAAAGGUGACCCCGAACAACGUUGACAUUGCGAAGGUCUCCCCUAGCUACCACCUCUACACCCCUUCUGAGGUUGAAGCGGUCAUCUCGAGGUUGUGA